GACGGAGGAUGCAAGCGUUUUCCGGAAUGAUUGGGCGUAAAGCGUCCGCAGGUGGCAGUUCAAGUCUGCUGUCAAAGACCGGGGCUUAACUUCGGAAAGGCAGUGGAAACUGAACAGCUAGAGUAUGGUAGGGGCAGAGGGAAUUCCUGGUGUAGCGGUGAAAUGCGUAGAGAUCAGGAAGAACAUCGGUGGCGAAGGCGCUCUGCUGGACCAUAACUGACACUCAGGGACGAAAGCUAGGGGAGCGAAUGGG
rnacentral:rRNA from 1 species